UAUAGGCAUCCUAGUUUUCUCCAGUAUCUCGUGUCAUUAUGUUGUUCAGAUAAUAUUUUUAUAUUUCAUCAUUUCUUGUGGUUGCUUGGCUGCUUGCUGAUCGUUAUUUCUAUAAUUCAUAACUCAUGCUUCGAGUUUGUAUGUGCUAGAUGUGGUCUAAACUGUUCAAAGGCAGGAACAACACUAUAUUGAUUGAAAGCAUAAGUAAUAUGCAUAGAAAUGAAUGAGGGAAACAUUCACAUUCACAAUUUUUUAAGUAAUUAGAUUGAAGGAAAUAAAUGAGGGAAAUGAAUAAACAUAGCUGAUGUACAAAAAUAAAGCAACCAUGCCUGAUAUUUAGUAUGCAUAGAUGCUAGGAUUUGAACCAUUUUCUGCACUGAUUUGCUUUAUCUAAGCUCAGAUGAUUAAGCCAUAUGAUGAAGCAGUACAAAGGAGCAUCAUUUGUACAGUUGAGCCCUCACAAUUUUGCUAUAGCAGACAUGUUCUAGUGAGUGUCUCUGUUGAGAAUAUUCAAAGGUUAAUGACUUACUUUGGGUCUUUAGGCUAGAUUUAAUGUAGAUUUGUCUCAAUGAAACUGAGAUUAUAUGGCUUACUUCUUAGUUAUGUGAGAUUUAUCAAUGAUGGUAACCUUAAUUGAGGUAGCAAGGCAGGGAGGAAUUCUUAAACAUGGUUGUAUAGCUUGCUGCAAUUGAGGAGUUAUUAUAUUGACUAUAGUAAUGUUAUAGUAUAUAGCUUCACUAACACAAAAGAUAUUAAAAAAAACUUAACUUGCAUUGGCUACAAAUAUGGUUUGAUAGAGAUUAUAAAGUUUGAUGCUAGCAUUUUUAACUUUAUACUAUUUUUAGAAAUUUUCUCAAAUUUUGGUUUGUGAUUACAAGGGAAAUUGAGUGAUGGGAGAGAAGUUGCAGUGAAGAAAUUAUCACAAACAUCAAAUCAAGGGAAGAAGAAGUUUAUGAAUGAGGCAACGUUAUUGGCUCGUGUGCAGCAUAAGAAUGUGGUGAAUUUGUUAGGUUAUUGUGUUCAUGGUGCAGAAAAGCUACUAUGUUGUGAAACAGUGUUACAAAUGGCUACUAGAGCUGCUCAGAAAAUAGAAGUCAAUUUGUUUUGGCAAGUUGAGAAUGUGGAGCUUGUAUAACUAAGACAACUAAAAUGCAGAGGGCAUCUUGUGAUUUGCUCGUCUUGCAAAGGUCACUGAAACACUGAGCAAAAAGUUACUUGUUUCACCAUUUUUGCAGUGCCUGAGGGACUUUCACUUGCAGCCACUUUAACACUGGCCUACUCGUUGCAGAAAAUAAUGGCACAUAAAGCUUUGGUAUGCAAAUUGAUGUUUGUGCUUUGACAGAGACUUUUGAUAUGAUUAUAUGAGUAACAUAACACCGAAUUAUAUGUGAGGAGGCUUUCUGCCUGUGAGACAAUGGGCUCUGCUACAACCAUAUGCAGUGAUAAGACGACACAAUGACUAUGAAUCAGGUUGGUUGUGGUGUAGUAUUCGAGCCAUUGAUUUACAUGAUAAUGUUUUAUGAAUCCGAAAAACAUGUAGUGUGAUAUUAGUGUGGAUCCACUUCAUAUUAUCUAGCAUUUUGGAUAAUAGUAACACUUUUCAUAUAUUUCUAGGUUAUAGUAACACUUUUCAUAUAUUUCUAUAUCUUCAACUUUUAGUAACUAUUAGUCACUGACAGGAGGUUCGUCUAGUGGAUAGCCAAUUGGCUCAAUCAAUGCAUAAUUUUAGCUAAACUUAUUUGCUAGAGAUUAGCUACGAAAUAGCUAAACUUAUUUGCAUUUAUUUGGAUUUAGUAACAUUUUUUAAAUGUUACUAAAUUCCAUAUUUGUUGUAGUGAAGCACCUAUACAGCAAGAAGGUUACAAAUGCAAACCUCGUAUGAA